UCACCACUUCUGUGAUCAUGAACAACCAGCCACAGUGGGUCUCCCUCCAGUAUUAACUUCCUUGGGUUGAUAAAGCUUUCAGGAAAGAGAGUUAUCAUAUCACAAAUACCACAAUGAUUUUUAUCUGAAUGGCUUCCUUCCAAAAUUCCAGAUCCAUCUAAACUUUUACUUCAUUGGAGGGUCCUUCCUGACCCAUGCAACUCAACAAAAAACUCUCACAGUUUUUAUAUGCUUUGUUGGGGAUUAACCCAUCUUGCAUUGCAUUGCUAGCUUAGUAUGUCUAGCAUGGGCAUGCCUGCUGAAGUUUGGAACUUCCCAUCAAGGAAACAGGAAAAUGCCAUUGGCAAUGAGCUGAAGACUGAUUUACUCUACCAGUUUGGAACAUCUGUUAUUGCUGCUACUACGGUUUCUAUCACUGUUUGAUGCUGGGACUCUUAAGCUCCAACCACGUUUUCACCGAGCUGAGUCGCCUUCUUAUCACCCCUUUCUGGAGCAGCAGGACAUCUGGGGAUGAGAAGAUGGAGAGAUCAUCCUUAUAUAAUGUUGCAGUCUGGAAGCAUCACUCUCAAAAAGCCAUUGUAGAGAAUCCAAGCCGAGUUUAAGAGUGCUGUGGAAAUACACUGCUGCUACUGCUGUUUCUAUUACUGUUUGAUGCUGGGACUCUUAUGCUCCAACCACGUUUUCACCCAGCUGAGUCGCCUUCGUAUCACGCCUUUCCAGGUUUGAACAGUUGACUGCCCGUGACUGGCUGAAACUCUGUGAUUGGUACAAGGAAGUAACUGGAUAUUUAUGAAGACAGCCUCCAAGACCUUUCAUAUUCCCCCACAUUUGUGUGUAUCCCUGACACAUAAUACUUCAAUUCCCUCAGCCUUAAAAUCAGGCAAGUGUGCCUACAUCACAGGAUUGUUGCAGGAUUAAAUGCAAUGCUUUAUUAAG
ensembl:lncRNA LINC01203 long intergenic non-protein coding RNA 1203